rnacentral:rRNA from 1 species
AUAAAUCAAAACUUUCAACAACGGA